rnacentral:rRNA from 1 species
UACGGGGGGAGCAAGCGUUGUUCGGAUUUACUGGGCGUAAAGGGCGCGUAGGCGGCCACUGCAAGUCAGUUGUGAAAUCUCCGGGCUUAACCCGGAAAGGUCAACUGAUACUGCAGGCUAGAGUGCAGAAGGGCAACUGGAAUUCUCGGUGUAGCGGUGAAAUGCGUAGAUAUCGAGAGGAACACCUGCGGCGAAGGCGGGUUGCUGGGCUGACACUGACGCUGAUGUGCGAAAGCUAGGGAGCGAACGGG